rnacentral:rRNA from 1 species
UACAGAGGUCCCAAGCGUUGUUCGGAUUCACUGGGCGUAAAGGGUGCGUAGGUGGUCAGGUAAGUCUGAUGUGAAAUCUCUGGGCUCACCCAGAAACUGCAUUGGAUACUAUCUGGCUAGAGGAGUGGAGGGGGGACUGGAAUACUUGGUGUAGCAGUGAAAUGCGUAGAUAUCAAGUGGAACACCAGUGGCGAAGGCGAGUCCC